rfam:Anopheles minimus strain MINIMTS1 unplaced genomic scaffold supercont1.24, whole genome shotgun sequence.
GUUGCAUGAUGAUAGAAUUUCUUCAACUGAUCAUUAAUUGAUGAGCCUACCGUUGACAUUUUUUAAUCUGACAACA